UUUAGGAUUUGAAAUGAAAGAAGCAAACGCCGCUGUGGUAGAUCUAGUUCUAGACACCCUCUUGAUCUCCUUUGAGGAUACCUUUCAUUUUGAUCAUUCUUGAAAGUAGUUAUAAUCUGGAGUGUUAUUGACUUAUUGUUGGAGUCUUCUAGUAGCAACUUCAAUAUGAGUCGCGUUCAACCCAAGCACUGGUUUGUCCUUGGGGCGUCUGUAACGUUUGCAGCAUCAUGCAUUACUUUUGUCGUUUUGACUCAGAAGCAAGAACAUUCGGUGAUGAUGAACGGUGUGAUACGCGAUAUAGAGCGUCAAGAGAAGAAACGGCUUGAGCAGCUCUCCAAGCAGCGAGAGAUUGAAGCGAUGAUGCGGGGAAAUCGAGAAGAGAAGGAAACAUAGUGCUGCGCGCCAACGCCAGUACAACUAGCAGUGUACUUGAUUCGGCAGUGAUUGCAGUAGCGGGACGUCGCUUGGAUGUUCGCAUGCUAUCACAUCCUGGUCCUGGUAUGUGUAUAGCAGCAUGAUAUGGUACGACCUAGCACGUUACUGCUAUGUAGAGUGACUAGUGACCGUGUCCUUGCUGCCUGCUGGGUGAUGAUGGUGGCGGCUCUCAGUCAUGGAGAGUUUGCUACUUCCCAUGGUAUUGUAUGGUACCUGCUGGACGAUGGCAGCUGAGCCAGUAGAAUACGAAUGUUCCGUGUUCUGGCAACACAAGUUGCCUAAGGUCUGCGGAUGGCAGCUCAGCCAGUAGAAUACGAAUGUUCCGUGUUCUGGCAACGCAAGUUGCCUAAGGUCUGCGGGCAAUGUGGAUUGUUGCAAUGAGUUAGGUGCUAUCCAGCGCAGCUUGUGCACCUGCCGUUGGACAUGUCAGCUGAUCACACACCUGUGAAUAGGUGGAGAGGAGCAGCAGUUAAGCGCAAUGAUGAUCCAGCUGUCGUUGGCAUCCCGGCAGGUUGGGUUACUUGGUUGAUUCAACUCGCGGGUCACGCUCGUUGAGCGCAUACUUUGCUCUCCUCACUGUAAGCCAUCCUUCCUGGGCUUGAACACAUUGUGUGUAGUGUGUGUAGUGUGUGCAGUGUGUGUAGUGUGUGUGGCGUAACAAACUCAUAACAUUGUAAGCAGUGCAAAGCUUACCACCUGAUUUACACUGUAAAUUGAUCAAGCUGGUCUUGAUCACCCAGCCACUUUUCUUCUUUUUUCUUCUUCUUCUUCGAACGUUCAUGCGUGCCUAUCGGGUGUGAAUCUAUGAAACUAUACCAGUUCAUGGUCCAAUGAUGUGGAUGUAUGUAUAGAGGCAUGGCAGAAUGGUGUGGAGUUGAAUCAUCUUGGAUUACUA